CUACGGGGGGCACCAGUGGGGAAUAUUGCACAAUGGGCGAAAGCCUGAUGCAGCAACGCCGCGUGAGGGACGACGGCCUUCAGGUUGUAAACCUCUUUUAGCAGGGAAGAAGCGAAAGUGACGGUACCUGCAGAAAAAGCACCGGCUAACUACGUGCCAGCAGCCGAGGUAAUACGUAGGGUGCAAGCGUUGUCCGGAAUUAUUGGGCGUAAAGAGCUCGUAGGCGGUUUGUCGCGUCUGCUGUGAAAAUCCGAGGCUCAACCUCGGACCUGCAGUGGGUACGGGCAAACUAGAGUGCGGUAGGGGAGAUUGGAAUUCCUGGUGUAGCGGUGGAAUGCGCAGAUAUCAGGAGGAACACCAAUGGCGAAGGCAGAUCUCUGGGCCGUAACUGACGCUGAGGAGCGAAAGCGUGGGGAGCGAACAGGAUUAGAUACCCCAGUAGUC
rnacentral:rRNA from 1 species